AAAUUGAAGAGUUUGAUCAUGGCUCAGAUUGAACGCUGGCGGCAGGCCUAACACAUGCAAGUCGAGCGGUAGCACAGAGGAGCUUGCUCCUUGGGUGACGAGCGGCGGACGGGUGAGUAAUGUCUGGGAAACUGCCUGAUGGAGGGGGAUAACUACUGGAAACGGUAGCUAAUACCGCAUAACCUCGCAAGAGCAAAGAGGGGGACCUUAGGGCCUCUCGCCAUCAGAUGUGCCCAGAUGGGAUUAGCUAGUAGGUGAGGUAAUGGCUCACCUAGGCGACGAUCCCUAGCUGGUCUGAGAGGAUGACCAGCCACACUGGAACUGAGACACGGUCCAG
rnacentral:rRNA from 1 species